AGAGUUUGAUCAUGGCUCAGAUUGAACGCUGGCGGCAGGCCUAACACAUGCAAGUCGAGCGGUAGCACAGAGAGCUUGCUCUCGGGUGACGAGCGGCGGACGGGUGAGUAAUGUCUGGGAAACUGCCUGAUGGAGGGGGAUAACUACUGGAAACGGUAGCUAAUACCGCAUAAUGUCGCAAGACCAAAGUGGGGGACCUUCGGGCCUCAUGCCAUCAGAUGUGCCCAGAUGGGAUUAGCUAGUAGGUGGGGUAACGGCUCACCUAGGCGACGAUCCCUAGCUGGUCUGAGAGGAUGACCAGCCACACUGGAACUGAGACACGGUCCAGACUCCUACGGGAGGCAGCAGUGGGGAAUAUUGCACAAUGGGCGCAAGCCUGAUGCAGCCAUGCCGCGUGUGUGAAGAAGGCCUUCGGGUUGUAAAGCACUUUCAGCGGGGAGGAAGGCGAUAAGGUUAAUAACCUUGUCGAUUGACGUUACCCGCAGAAGAAGCACCGGCUAACUCCGUGCCAGCAGCCGCGGUAAUACGGAGGGUGCAAGCGUUAAUCGGAAUUACUGGGCGUAAAGCGCACGCAGGCGGUCUGUCAAGUCGGAUGUGAAAUCCCCGGGCUCAACCUGGGAACUGCAUUCGAAACUGGCAGGCUAGAGUCUUGUAGAGGGGGGUAGAAUUCCAGGUGUAGCGGUGAAAUGCGUAGAGAUCUGGAGGAAUACCGGUGGCGAAGGCGGCCCCCUGGACAAAGACUGACGCUCAGGUGCGAAAGCGUGGGGAGCAAACAGGAUUAGAUACCCUGGUAGUCCACGCCGUAAACGAUGUCGAUUUGGAGGUUGUGCCCUUGAGGCGUGGCUUCCGGAGCUAACGCGUUAAAUCGACCGCCUGGGGAGUACGGCCGCAAGGUUAAAACUCAAAUGAAUUGACGGGGGCCCGCACAAGCGGUGGAGCAUGUGGUUUAAUUCGAUGCAACGCGAAGAACCUUACCUGGUCUUGACAUCCACAGAACUUUCCAGAGAUGGAUUGGUGCCUUCGGGAACUGUGAGACAGGUGCUGCAUGGCUGUCGUCAGCUCGUGUUGUGAAAUGUUGGGUUAAGUCCCGCAACGAGCGCAACCCUUAUCCUUUGUUGCCAGCGGUCCGGCCGGGAACUCAAAGGAGACUGCCAGUGAUAAACUGGAGGAAGGUGGGGAUGACGUCAAGUCAUCAUGGCCCUUACGACCAGGGCUACACACGUGCUACAAUGGCAUAUACAAAGAGAAGCGAC
rnacentral:rRNA from 1 species